rnacentral:ncRNA from 1 species
CUAUGGUUUUUAAGCCAUGGCGGAAGGAG